GGAGCUGAUGGGUCAAUUAUAGCACCACAACACGACUUAUAUGAGAAUCCUGUUACAUGGGCAUCAUACCCACCUUUAAUUUUCCCGAAUGUGGGUCUGAAUACUCCUACUUCUUCAUUGUCUGAAGGUAGGGUUAAUACUGUUACUUCUGGUAGUAAUAGUAUUACAACUCAAGCUGCACCCAUUCCUCAGAUUAGAGGCCCUCAAGGCAUGCAGAACAACACGCCACUGACUAACAGCAUACACAUACAAGAGGUAUUCAUAAUUGUCUUUUCUUUGCCCUAUGUCUUUAUUAUGCAUCUCUUGUUAGAACCAUUUAUUUUGAGAGGAUCAUCUUUUUUAUUUUGAGUCUCUUUUCAGACAAGCUAAUUCAAUAAAGGUUCGGAGGUGCAUAAAAUAUUCAAGGGCCAUACGUCGAAGACAUCCCCACUUGAAAAUCGACAGCGCAAUUUGCAGGGCGAGAGAGAAGCCCAGGCUUCACUCGGAGGGUGUUUGAUCGAGCUUAUAAGCUCUUUAAAACAUCUUAUUAAAUUGUUUCGAAGCUCGUAAGCUUCUUCAAGUAUUUAGCAAAAUAAGUUUCUAAAGAGCUUAUUAUAAGUUCCUUUAUUCAAUUUAUUUUUUCAUUAUUUUAUAAGCGACAUUGAUUUUGCAAAAGUAACUUAAUUAUGAUUU